rnacentral:rRNA from 1 species
UACGUAGGGUGCAAGCGUUGUCCGGAAUUAUUGGGCGUAAAGCGUCCGCAGGUGGCUAUGUAAGUCUGCUGUUAAAGAGUCUAGCUCAACUAGAUAAGAGCAGUGGAAACUACAAGGCUAGAGUACGUUCGGGGCAGAGGGAAUUCCUGGUGUAGCGGUGAAAUGCGUAGAGAUCAGGAAGAACACCAGUGGCGAAGGCGCUCUGCUAGGCCGUAACUGACACUGAGGGACGAAAGCUAGGGGAGCGAAUGGG